CCAGGCUGUGAGGUGUCAGCACAGAGCCCGGUGGCAGGGCUCGAACCCCUGUGAACCGCGAGAUCAUGACCUGAGCUGAAGUCAGACACUUAACUGACUGAGCCACCCAGGCGCCCCUAGAUUUCUACUUUUGUAAAAUGCCUGUUCCAAGUCUUUCACUCAUUUGUCUAUUAGGUUGUCUGUUUCUUAUUUGCUUGAGCGUUUUAUGAGUUUUUAUAUGCAUGUAUAUGUUUGUAUUCUAGAUACUAUUUGUCAUUUAUGUGUGUUGCAAAUACCUCAUUUUGUGACUUAUCUUCUUUAUGAUCUGUUUUAUGAUUAGAAUUCUUGAUGUAGUUAAAUAUGUCUUUCCUCUUAGGCUUAGAGGAAAUCCUAUCUUUCUGUGUCUUAUUUGUAAAUAAGACUACUCUACCUCAAGGUCAUGAGAUUCUCUAUGAUCUUCUAGGAGUUUCUAAAGCUUUGCCUUUCAUAUUUAUUCACCUGGACACCUGGAACUUCUUUUUAGGGUGAUCUAGAGUAGAGAGGUCAAAUUCCUCCCACUACCCCAGCCCCCGGACAUGGCUAGAAAGUUUUAACAUUUCUUCUUUUGCCAUGUAAGGACUACUAUAAACUACUUCAUCUUCUCACUCUCACUUCAUACAAAGACAUCUUAAUAUGCAAACAUGAGAAGAGCAUAGGGUCAGAGUAAAGGAGAAUCCUUUAAACCAAAUAAUUGAGUUGUACUGAUUAAUUUGUCUGUAUUUUUCUCAUUUUGUUACAGGUUCUGUGCACUGGUUUAUGGAGAUGGAUGAAGGAACCUUAUUUUUUUGAAUCUGAAGGGCUGACAUUCCCCAAGUCUAAAAAUCACAUAAGUGUCCAGUGUUUUCCAGAACUGUCCCAGGCAGCCACAAACUCUCAGGACACACUGGCCUCCAGGGACCCAAGAUUUGUGCCUCUUUAGCUACUCGCACUGGGAAGCCCCUCUUAAGAUUAACCCAAGUCCCUCAUACUGCAUUUUAAACGCCAGCUGCUCCCCAUCAAAUAUUUAAGGGCCUACUAUGUACCCACGUGGUGCCUGGCCCUUUGGAGCCCGCUGUUCAGCAGGGACAGGUGAGCAGUUAUCACAGAGGGCAAAAAGGGCCAGGUCAAAGGCCAGGAUGCGUUUAAGCCCAUCAAGGUGGCCAGCUGCUUUCUGAACAGGGACGACUCAAAGUCUCUUCCCCUGGGAGCCUAAGAUGAGACCUGAAGGCUAAGUGAGAGUCGUUGGGGGUGGGGUGGGAGUCCGGUGCAGUGAUGGGAGAGGCUGUAGAGGACUCCGGGGCUGGGAGAUCAGCACAGGCAGACUUGGAAGCAGUGAAUGUUCUUCGGUGUGGCUGGGCCCUCCACGGCUAGGUCGGGAUGAGAGCCCUGUCAGCCGGCAGAAGGGGGAUAGACUCGGAAAAGGCAGGGGAAAACCUGGAAGGGCUUGGCUGCAGGCACGAGGCGGGUCGGGUGCUGCGGAUUAGAAAGUUGGUUGAGAGGGACACACACCCUCUUUCGCCCUGCCCUUGGCCACACAUUCAGUGAUGUUUAUCGGAACCCAGCAGCCACCCUGCCCUUUCCUCAGCAGUCCAAUCUCCCAGCUUUCCGCCGACUUUAAAUCACAUUCGCCCCAAACAAUAGGCCCAAGAACAAAACUGCUGUGACUGCCGCUCUCCGUCAAAAAGCGGUCACUGUGAGAACGUGUGUUCCGUGGAUUUUGCCAGAGUUUAGCGGCGCGUGUCAGUGAAAAGCAAGUCUGAGAGAUUGGGGAGAGCAUGGGGGCCACUCCAGCAUCUCAGUUACUCUUCUGGCCAAGUGAAGACCCAGGAGACCUGCCCCACCAGCGUGGUGUAGAAAACUCACUUUUUCUUCACACACUUGACAGGCAGGGAGUACUUUGUAUGCUCAGAAAGUCCAUUUGCAGUCGUCAUCUGGAUUUUCGUUUCUAUUUGAUCCAGUCCAUGGAUUUUUUUUUUUUUUUUUUUUUACCCCCCCCCGAUCAACUUUCCCAGAAGGCAGUGCUUUGCUCUGGGGAAUGGUUAGGUCAGAGUCAGAUAGCAGAGGAUUUGAAAAGUAGCCUCUCCACGUGCCCCUCCUGGCUGUGCCCUAGAUGAUGGUCCCUCAGCAGUGCUUCCUAGAAACCACUGAGACUGAAGUUAAACUACACCAUCCUCAGCUGCAAGUGACCCUGAACUGGCCCUUUGUGCAAGGUCAUCCAUGAGACACCAGUGCCUCCGUGCCCUCAAUAAAUGCUUUUACACUCCCACUAAAUGCUUUUACAGUGGAAAUUCCCAGGUUAAGUUUCACAGGUAAAGAUGAAUAUUGUGUGUGUGUCACCCAUUGUGUGGUUGUUCAAAAUCACAGGGCCAGCAGGACUGGAAUUUUUUCAUCUUACAUAUUUUCCCACCUUUGAAGUAUUAGUGAUAGCUCCCUCGUUUUGAGACUCAAGGUUUAAAACAUGUUUAUUCUGUGUGCCAUGAAUUCCACUCCUUUGAACAUCUGGGCUUAAUGAAUCCUUAGCAUUUUUCUUCUGGGGCUUUGUUGGAAAUGAAGGAUACUCUCCACUACUUCUCUGGUUGGAAGAUAUGUGUUUUAUUCCCUUCUAAGUUAUCAGGCUAAAUCCUGUGACCUUUCUCCCUUGAAAAGCAGGCAGUGUUUCCAAAAUUUCUAACACAAUUCCUCGGGAAUGUGGAAUGGGUUUCCUUGUGGACAGUGUUGUUUAUGGGGUCUCUGUCUCCAUUCAUAGAAACCUGCAUGUCAGAGAGACAGCGUAUAUAUGAAAACAUAGGAUAAAGGUGCUAGAGAACCGAAAUGCUCUGGGUAGCAGACCCCCAAACCUGACGGCUAAAAACAGCUCCCCUCGGCUGCAGCCCCAGCAGCAGCAAGUAAAGAUGCACUCAGUCACAAACCGACUUACUAGGGUCCUGUCUGGAGUCCAGAAGACAAGAGGAGACCUCUAAAAUUUGAUAUAAAGUGAUGAGUGUCUUGAGAGGGCCACUAAAGUGCCAUGGCAGUCCUUUCUGCUGGGACAAUCAGAGAAGGCUUCCUGGAGGUGUUAUGGAACCAGGCUGGAACGAUGGCGGAAGAAGCAAGCGGCACUCAGAGAUCUUGGUGGAUUGGAGAUUUAUUUUACACCGGCGGGCUCAGAGGAGACUUUCUCAAAAGGUCUGAGCCUGGAAUGCAAGUCGGGAGGGUAAUUUAUAGCCGACAACUUCCAUAUCUGUGGGGGGUUUUGCCCACACAGCAAACAAAGGAAGAAGAACCCAGAGGAGGGGUCUCUAAGCUGGAGACCAGAGUUUGUUUUAGCCCCGUCGGCCAUCUUUGGUGUCCUUGACUUCUCCAACGGAGGAAGUGGCAUUUGCUCUGUUUCUUGAGUGAAGAAGGUAAGAUUCUGAAUAGAGACAGUAAAGGUGAGAGCAGAUUUUUAGCCCACCCUCAGGGGGUCCCAUCGCCUGUGAUGCAGAAAAGGAGAAGCUCAGAGUGAGUAAAGCUCUAGGAAGGGAUGAGUGAUGAUGGAAGAGAACUAAGAACCUCUGGAGAUGCUAAAGCCAGAAGGAGCCUGAGAUGCAUAGCAACCACCUCGAGUUACUCUUGGUGAGAAUACAAGGCUUAAGGAAAAGAGAGUGAAGAGAGGGAGAACCCCGAGCGGCAGACACAGGAAGGAAAAGAAGUGCAGUUGACCCUUGGACAACGGGAUUAAGGGCACCCUUGCAGUCAAAAAUGUGUGUGUAACUUUGGACUCCCCCAGAACUUUACGAAUAGCCUACUGUUGACCACUGGCCUUACUGAUAAUAACAUAAACAGUCGAUUGAUGUAUAUUUUGUGUGUUAUAUGGAUUCAGUAUGAUAUUCUUACAAUAAAGUAAGCUAGGGAGAAGAAGAUGAUGUUAUUAAGAAAAUCAUAAGGAAGAGAAAAUAUAUAUUACAGUUCUGUAUCAAAAAACCCCACAUAUAAGUGGACCUGACAGGGGCCAACUUCCUCUCUGAGGUGGGAAACUGCUCAAAGUCUCAGAUGAAUGAUGAGUAAGGCCACUCUGAUGGAAGUGGACACCCUCCUCCAGCACUUGACCAUUUAUUCCUUCCUUAGUUGGGUAUCCAUGCUUCCCGUGGUCUAGCAAGCUCACGCAUUCCAACAGUUUUUUCGAGUGUGUUUGAACGUUAAGCUAAUACUUGUUUCAUUGCUUUAAAAGGUGCCCUUUUAAAAAGCAGGAUCCCAGUCACUAACACAGGAAUGAACAUUUUAUGGACCUGUACCUUAAUUAGGGGAGAGCAUCGAAGUCAUUUUAAAUGGACUUAAUCUCAUCCUAAGCCUGGCCAACAUUCCAUUCCUAAGGGUUUACAUCAAGGAAGUCAUCCAAAAGGGGGAAAAAGUUUUUCCCAUGCUGGUUUGAGAACAUGGAAAAAUGAGUUGAUUUUGGAGAUCAAUGACACUUUGGUGAUUUUCUUCUGCUAAUGAACGGUAAUGUGUUGGAGGGGACAAUCCAAGCAGUGAUCAGGGUAGAGAAGACAUUACACGUAAGUAAAAGCCUCUCACUUUGCCUGCGUCUUUCUUUUUUUCCCAUUAGGCCCUGAACACAUCUCCAUCACCACUCUUAAUGUUCUGGGGGUAAUAACUAUCUAGUAUUAUAAUGGAUGGUGCGGGGGAGGGGCUGGCGCAUAGUAGGCACUUGAUGAAUAUUGUGACAUCCCUUCCAGCGCAAGGCCCUCUGGUUACAGUUACCCAGGGUAACUGAUGUACGUACUGAAACAGCAAAAGGAGCUAAGGCAGCAAAAUAAAGCAGCACUUUCAACUAUUUCUAUUUUACAAAGUGCUUGGUGAAACUGUAAAAGGAUAUUUAGUACCACAAAAAGUAGGCCAAGGGUAAGAAAAACUCUCCAUACCCAGGAGGAUUCAGCUGACCAAAUUAAGUCUGAUCCAGAAUAAACAGUUCUCAUCUGGAAAUCUAGCAGUUCCAGAAAGUACUGUCCAAGUGGAAAAAGGCCCACGAUGCUGGUCUGCAUAAUUAUGUAACCCUUUAGGAAAGGGGAAGGAAGUGCCACCAUCCUGGGGUACGUGGGGAAAAGCAACCGUGAGAAAAUAAUAGUACUCGGGCCUCAGAGAAGGGGAUUGUGCUAUUAGAGAAACCAGGCUCACAAGCCCUUUCUCAUGAACUUGACCAACUUUGGUCAUUUUUCCCUGUGCCUACCCGGUGUCCAAAACCUAAAACAAGGUUCCUAUUAUCCAAUCCGUCCAACAGCAAUAACUGUCAAAUAGGCACGUGAAUAGCACUGCACGUGAAGGAACUCGUUUGAAAUGAGACUGGAGCUCAGCUGCAACGGUCAAGACCAGUCACGUCUGUGCUUUCUCUGGAAAAGCAUGAUCAUCGCCCCUUUGAAGAUCACUUAAAAACAUCAAACAAACUAGAUCCCAGAUGAUGUUAUACCAACCUUUCAUUCCUGGGAUAAAACCUCCUUGGCCAAAUCCUUUUUAUAUGUUGAGGAACUUGACCACCUGCUAUAUAGAUGUCAUUAUCAGGAGUUACAACAGUCCCAACCUUCUGCAAAUCAGCUGGUGGGCUGCACAGCUUGUAAACUUUUUCUGCUUGGGGGCUGUAACAGACAGAAGAGUAAAGACUACAAGGAUUUUCUGAAGAUGCCUCAAUGAAAAUCAUCAUCUCCUCUUUAGUCAUUCCAAGUCUUGGUUUGAAAAACUUGGGCAUAGACUUAUACAGACCUUGAACCACUACAGACUUGUCAUUGGGUGGGAGGCCUUGGAACCAAGCUCUCUGCGUUACUUCUGAAAGUGCAUCAAUUCUGAUUUGGCUAAGAACUGAAGACAAAUACUGGGAUCGUGAUUCUGUGUUGUACUCUAGCCACAGCAUAGCAGCUUCGCGAACUGUCUCCUCCUUUUCAACAUUUAAAUUGUCACUACUGAGGAUGUCUAUCAGUAGGUCAUGUGACAGCUGCAUGAAUGCUUCCUGGUGAUACACAGCAGUGAACUUGUGUUCUACCAUUCUUUUAGCACUUUGCUUUAAUUCUUCACAACUGAACAGAUCAGCAAAACUCAACAAUCGCACACAAUUCUCUGCAUUGAUUUUCUUAAUUAAGUAUUCUCGACAACGCUGUAAUACAUCUUCUACCUAAAAUGGGAGGAAACAAAAGGUUGAUAAAGACAGGACAAAUUUUACUUUUACUGUAAAACACAAGUAUAUUAAUCAGAUCCCUAUACUACGGUUUGUUUUUAGAUAUGUAUGUUUGGGCUAAGAGAUAAUGCCUUCCAGUAAUAAUAAAAUUAUAAGAUUAUGCAUA